rnacentral:rRNA from 1 species
UCAAAAACAUGUCUUUUUGAUAAUAAUUUAAAGUCUAAUCUGCCCACUGAUAAAAUAUUAAAGGGCUGCAGUAUAUUGACUGUACAAAGGUAGCAUAAUCAUUAGUCUUUUAAUUGAAGACUUGUAUGAAAGAUUUGAUGAAAUAUAAACUGUCUCUAAUUUAUAAUUAGAAAUUAAUUUUUUAGUUAAAAAGCUAAAAUAAAAUUAAAAGACGAGAAGACCCUAUAGAGUUUUAUAUUUUAUUUUUUUAAUAUUAAAAAUAUAAUUAAAUUAUAUUAAGUAAAUGAAAUAUUAUGUUGGGGUGAUAAAAAAAUUUAAUAAACUUUUUUUAAAAAAUUAACAUAGAUAAGUGAUUAAUUGAUCCAUUAAUAAUGAUUAAAAGAAAAAAUUACCUUAGGGAUAACAGCGUAAUAUUUUUUUUUAGUACAAAUAAAAAAGAAAGUUUGCGACCUCGAUGUUGGAUUAAGAUAAAAUUUAAAUGCAAAAGUUUAAAAUUUUGAUCUGUUCGAUCAUUAAAAUCUUACAUGAUCUGAGUUCAAAACCGGAGA